CCUACAUGAAGCUGGAGUUACUAGUAAUCGCAGAUCAGAAUGCUGCGGUGAAUGCGUUCCCGGGUCUUGUACACACCGCCCGUCACACCACGGGAGUUGGAGACGCCCGAAGCCGAUUAUCUAACCUGUUGGAAGAAGUCGUCGAAGGUGGAAUCAAUAACUGGGGUGAAGUCGUAACAAGGUAGCCGUAUCGGAAGGUGCGGCUGGAUCACCUCCUUUCUAAGGA
rnacentral:rRNA from 1 species